rnacentral:SRP_RNA from 13 species
GCCGGGUGCAGUGGCAUGUGCCUGUAAUCCAAGUCACUGGGAGGCUGAGGUUGGUGGAUCAAGUGAGCUGAGGAGCUCUGGGCUGCAGCACGCUAUGUCGAACGGGUGUCCACGCUAAGUUCGGUAUCGAUAUGGUGUUCCUGGGGGAGCCUGGGACCACCAGGUUGUCUAAGGAGGGGUGAACCGGCCCAGGUCGGAAACGAAGCAGGUCAAAUCCCCCGUGCUGUCCAGUAGUGGGGUAAUACCUGUGAGUAGAUGCUGCAGUGCAGCCUUGGCAAAUCAUCGAGACCUAAUCUUUU